GUAAAACUUAGAGUGAAUCAAAGCUCUCAUCUAGCAGCCUUUAUCCCUUCACAGACCCACAUUCCAAGCAUUCCAUUUGGGAAGGUCUAAAAACCUAGGACACAGGAAAGAUGGAGUAGCAGAGUUCACAGAGGGGCUCCUGCCCACUCCUGGGAGCAGCUCGGGGAGCUUCCCUCUCAAACCUGCACAUUGUCUGAAGGUGCCGGUCAUUGUGGAUUCAGAGAACCAAGACAGCAAACUCCCGACUGAAAUAUCAAAUGCUUUACUCAGUUGAAGAACAAGAUAGAACAUUCCAGAAGAUGUGGCAACUGGGGUCAUUUUAAUCUCCCCUCCCCAGUC